UACGGAGGAUGCGAGCGUUAUCCGGAUUUAUUGGGUGUAAAGGGAGCGUAGGCGGGUGGACAAGUUGAAUGUGAAAGAGACAGGCUCAACCUGUUGUUGCGUUCAAAACUGUACAUCUUGAGUGAAGUAGAGGCAGGCGGAAUUCCUAGUGUAGCGGUGAAAUGCGUAGAUAUUAGGAGGAACACCAGUUGCGAAGGCGGCUCUCUGGACUGUAACUGACACUGAGGCACGAAAGCGUGGGGAGCAAA
rnacentral:rRNA from 1 species